CACACACACACACACACACACACACACACACAGCCCCUGUCUCAGUAACUGAAACAUUCACCAUCCAAGGUUCACCAUCCAACAUUCAGCAUUUGUUCAUGAAGAUUAAAUCAUCUCCCCUGAAAACCACUGUUUUCAGAACAGGCCCCUGGGGGAGAGGCAAUUCGGGAGCUGGAGAAGAAACUGUCUGCCUGUUUCGGCUCAACACCUUGUACACCUGGGCCACAGCUUGAGUUAAUUUUAAUGGCCAGGAGAGGGAAGACACAGGAUGUGGAGGACAGAGGCCUACAUUUGAAUUCUGGAGACCUGAGUCUACAAUGAACUCUAGAGCCUGGAGGAAACCGCUUGUUCUUUAUCUUCUCAUCUGUAAAAACUGAAAACUGGGCUUGCAAUUCAGAUACCUGCCACUAGAGAUGCAGUGUAGCCUCCAAAACUUGUAAACCAAAUCACAGACUCCUUCUGAUGCCACCUGGAUAAAUCGGGUUUGCAAACAUCAGGAAAGCAAUCUUCUGAAACCAUCCCGAUCUUGGCCUUCCCAUCCUGGGUAAGCAUGUAACACAGCCCAGGCUGUCUAGAAGCUUUUCCUGAGUCAUCCAAUAGUCCAAAUGGGCCUGAUUAAGCCCAAACUUGGGCACCACAGGUCAUUGCAUUCGUCUCUUUGGCAGUGUUUAUGUCACUGAAAAGACAGCAGACAGCAUGACUCUUCUGGAGCUUCCGGAGCAGCCGGAAGAGCAGCCGGGUAACCAAGCUGGGCCUUCCCGGAGUUGUCUCUCCGUGCAGGUAAUCAGUUCCAGUAGCAGAUGUAGCAAAAAGGAGUCAUGCCACCACACACCUGAAUGUCGAUAAAUGACCAUGCAUGAAAGCAUGAAGUGGGAUACUGUCCAGUCCUGGAGAAAGGAAACCUGAAGCACAGGCCAAGGUACAAGACUUUCAAAAGCAGAAUUCACCAGUUUACUUAAUUCUUAUGGACAUACACAUGAACACACAUGCUGCCGUGAUGCCAAUCUUACUGUCCAAACACGAUCUUCCAAGGUUCCAAAUACUUACCCUGCUGUGUCCCAGACAUCUUGACCAAAACCAGGCCCUGCCUUGCUAGAGCCAAGAGUCCAGUUGGGGAAAACUAAUCCUUACCUCCAGUUCACACCAACAGCUCGGUGAUCACACCCGGUGAGAAGUACAACCAGGAAAGGCCCAGGGGUUCACCGAAGAGUGAGUGGUGUGACUGCUAAUCUUGAUUGUCAGCCGAAUUGGACUGAGGGAUGCCUAGGGGGAUGGUAUGACACCCUCCUGGGCGAGUCUUAGUUGGUCUAAUCCAAUGGUGGCUUACAAUUGCAGUAGAUUGUUGGGAGGCGGCAAUGGAACCUGAGGUCAUUGGGACAGAGGUGACCAGGGUUAUGUCCUUCAGGGCUAUGACUUGUAGCUCCUUCACUGACCUUUGAAUCAGCUCUUCCCCCACAAACUCUGCUGUCACAAGGGUCGGCCUCAGCCAAUGGAGCAGCCAACAGACUCAAACCACAAGUCAGGUAAAUUCCUCCUUUCUUUAAGCCACUCACUUGGUCACAGUGACAAUAAAAGCAACAAGGUAAUGUGUCAGUGUACAACGAUCACCAAGAGCUGAUUGUUUAAUUUCCAGCAAGGUUGCAAGAGUCAGUUGUUUGCAAACUUUAAAUGGGCUUACCACUAAGUCAUUUAAAAAUAAAACAAAACAAGAACAAAUAUUUAGAACUCAUUGCUACCUAGCUGAUGAUGGUACCGUUUAUGCCUCAGAGGGGUUUUGCUCUUUUUUUUGCCCGGGUGGGUGACAGAAAUCUAACAUGACAAAUUCCUGUUUCCUCUUCCCCGCUCCAUUGGCCAUCAUGCUGGUAGCUCCAAGUUGGCCACAGUGGAUGUGCUUACACCACAGGUAAGCAGCGAAGCUGGCUAUGGAUGGGAGCUAUUUCUGUCCCGAAGAGCUGAGGGUGAAAUGUUUUCGAGCAUAGCACCACCUGGGGCCAAUUAACAGGGAGCUGGGGUUAGACUGGAAACAAGAGAACUCCACAGGAAGAGGAAGAGCGGCCGCUACCAAUCAUCAUCUCCUCUCCUCAUUCUCAUCUUGCUUUUGAAGCAUAGGCAUUGUUCUGUCAUGGCAACCACUGGCUCAACUAUACAAUUACACAUCCCAGCUUCCUUGACACUCCCCCUGACACACACACACAUACACACACACACGCACACACAAGGGCUCACGCCCCACAGGUUAAGAACUGCUGUACUAAGACAUAAUCGUUGUCUUGAGGAGUGACUUUUGAGUGUAUCUGACAGGAACAGGCAGGGCUUCACAGAGUCCGAUGAACAGGAUAUCUAGUUUAUGCUAACGGAGCAGGUGGACAGUGUUAACUCUCGGAUUCCUGGGCCUUGAGCUCUUGACAUUCCCUGCUUCCAAAUGCCUGGGCUUUACCAGAUGAAAGGGAAGACCCUGCUGGGAGGGGUCUUGCAAAGGCAGGGGCAGUAUUGUGUCUCUGCAGGCGUUAGUCAGUCUACAGUAUGCAGGAGCGCUGUGGGCUUCUGCCUGGCAGGCUACAGAAUGGAGCCAAUCUGGUGCCUAAAAUGAAGCCCUUUCUUCCAGCCUCUCCCGAUUGUACUCCAUGAAUAGCUUUCAAAUCUUGUCCACAUUCUCGGGUCCUGGGUAGAGGAGCUAGCUCUCUCGUGCCUG
rnacentral:sRNA from 1 species